UACGUAUGGGGCAAGCGUUGUCCGGAAUUAUUGGGCGUAAAGGGUACGUAGGCGGUAAUUUAAGUCUGAAUUUAAAGGCUGUGGCUCAACCAUAGUAAGGUUCAGAUACUGGAUUACUUGAGUAGAUGAGGGGAAAGUGGAAUUCCAUGUGUAGCGGUGAAAUGCGUAGAUAUAUGGAGGAACACCUGUGGCGAAGGCGACUUUCUGGAAUCUAACUGACGCUGAGGUACGAAGGCGUGGGGAGCAAACAGG
rnacentral:rRNA from 1 species